UAAAGAAAUAUUCGUUUAUACUUAACAACGGAGUGCAUAACUGGGGGAGGCACAAACCCCCAGGUUUUACAAAUGCAUAAACCUCCGUGGGGAGUGGCCGCCGCGUGUCAAAGGCAGAGCUGGGACUGAGAACUCAAGGGGCAAUGCCACCCACGUGUGUCCUCGUCCCAGGCCUUCCGGCAUUGUCGUCCUUUCCUGACAACCUCUCCUCCUCUUUCCCCAGGUCGGACCCCAAACAGCUCCUCUGCCAAUGGCUGUAUCUCCUACACGGCGGUGGACCUUAAUGCCAGCUCUUCCCAGGACCCGCCCGCGGGGAACACCAGGUGACUGCGUGGGGACUGCUGGUGAGAGAGACUGGGGCCACCCUGCCCAGUGGAGGAAGGCUCCCUCCGAAGAGACUGGCCACCUCCCUUGUGCCAGGCCGACCUCAGGAAUGACCCCUGUGCCUCACCGUGCCGCAGGAGGUGCACGUUCGGGUGUUCCCCACGACCACUCUCUGGCUCAGGCAUUCGCUGGAAGGACUCGCGGAACCCAAGAACGCGGUUACGCUCACGCUUCGGGUUAUCACAGUGAGAGCAUGAGACUCAGGUCAGCAGCGUGGAUGCAGAAGAGCCCCUGGGGGGCACCGGGCUGGACCGACCAGGCACCAGGUCCCAGUCGUCCCACACGGGCAGCCCCGAUUUCUCCCAGCCGUGACGUGUGAUGGCACAGCGGAGUCCCUCCAUCCUUGCCGGACCUUGGGCUGCCAGAGUUUUGGUUGCAGUAUUUAUUCCGGGGCUCCGUCGUGGUAGGGACGGCUGACCACCCACGGAGCUGACCGUCCUCUCCAGCACCUCUGUAGCUCAAAGCCCCACUGUGUUACUAUCCUUAAUUAUUUAUUAUUAUUAUUAUUAUUUUUAAUUUACAUCCAAGUAAGUUAA